rnacentral:tRNA from 1 species
UCCCUCAUAGCUCAGUGGUAAAGAAUCUGCCUGCAGGGCAGAAGACCCGGGUUCGAUUCCUGGGUCGGGAA